AUGUCAGUAGCUGAAACUUUGUCAAUUCAUAUCCUCAGCCCGCCGGCCGGCGCCAUCGUUGUCUCCAAAGCGCCGUGCGCACUAGCUUCCAAAAAUGGAGUCCUAGACAAGCGCCAUCCAGCUACCGUACCCAGCACUCAGACACGCGCGCACCCUCGCAACGUAGGCAUGGACGUGGAGGCGCCCAAGGACGACGACCAGCGCCCCGCGCCGCCGGCGCGCGGCAAGGCGAUGCAUCGGUUCCUGGUGGCGCUCAACUGCGGGAUGCUCACGCUGGGCACCACGGGCGGGCCGCUCCUCAGCCGCCUCUACUUCAGCAAGGGCGGGCACCGGAAGUGGCUGUCGGCGUGGCUCGAGACCGGCGGCUGGCCGCUGCUGCUGCUCCCCGUGGCGGCGUCGUACCUCAGCCGGCGCGCGCACGACCCCAGCGCGCCGGUGGUGCUCACCCCGCCGAGGAUACUGCUCGCCGCCGCGGGGCUCGGGCUGGCGACGGGCGCCGACGACUUCCUCUACGCGUACGGGCUGUCGUUCGUGCCCGUGUCAACGUCCGCGAUCCUCAUCUCCACGCAGCUGGCCUUCACCGUCUUCUUCGCGUUCCUGAUCGUGCGGCAGCGGCUGACGGCGCUGUCGGUGAACGCGGUGGCGCUGCUGACCGUGGGCGCCGUGGUGCUGGGGCUGCACGUGUCCUCGGACCGCCCCGCCGGGGUGACCAAGGGGCAGUACUGGCUGGGGUUCCUGCUCACCCUGGCCGCGGCGGCGCUGUACGGGCUGGUGCUGCCGCUGAUCGAGCUGACCUACAAGCGCGCGGCGGGCGGCGGGCGCGUGGUGACGUACGCGCUGGUGAUGGAGAUGCAGCUGGUGAUGGGCUUCUUCGCCACCGCUUUCUGCACCGUCGGCAUGAUCGUCAACAACGACUUCCAGGCGAUCUCAAGGGAAGCGCGGGCGUUCCAGCUGGGGGAGGCCCGGUACUACACGGUGCUGGUGUGGAGCGCCAUCCUGUGGCAGUUCUUCUUCCUGGGCGCUGUGGGCGUCAUCUUCUGCGUCCACACCCUGUUCGCUGGGAUCCUCAUCGCCGUCUUCAUCCCGGUCACGGAGGUGCUGGCCGUCAUCUUCCUGCACGAGAAGUUCACCAGCGAGAAGGGCGUCGCGCUCGCGCUCUCGCUCUGGGGCCUUGCCUCCUACUCCUACGGGGAGUACAGCGACGCCAAGGUGGCCAAGAAGAAAGCGGCCUUGGAUGCCCAAGCCUCGUGA
rnacentral:rRNA from 1 species